AUUGAACGCUGGCGGCAGGCCUAACACAUGCAAGUCGAACGAGUUGCGGACGGGUGAGUAAUGUCUGGGCAACUGCCUGAUGGAGGGGGAUAACUACUGGAAACGGUAGCUAAUACCGCAUACCAUCAGAUGUGCCCAUAUGGGAUUAGCGAGUGGGUGGGGUAACGGCUCACCAAGGCGACGAUCCCUAGCUGGUCUGAGAGGAUUACCAGCCACACUGGAACUGAGACACGGUCCAGACUCCUCCGGGAGGCAGCAGUGGGGAAUAUUGCACAAUGGGCGCAAGCCUGAUGCAGCCAUGCCGCGUGUAUGAAGAAGGCCUUAGGGUUGUAAAGUACUUUCAGCGGGGAGGCGUUACCCGCAGAAGAAGCACCGGCUAACUCCGUGCCAGCAGCCGCGGUAAUAC
rnacentral:rRNA from 1 species